UCACAUUUAUCACUGAACAUUUUAAUAAUUAUUAAAGAAAAUAAUACUAAGUAUAUGUUUGAUAUAAUUUUUUAUUAUUAUUGCAAUAGUACGACGGUGCUGUUGGACCCGUUGUUUGCAUGAAUUACCAUUUAAUUUUUUUUUAUUGAUAUUUAUAUUCAAUAAAUUCGAAUCUAAGGAGUCACCCUACCCUUUGAUUUGUGUUUGCAGUUGCCUUCGGCAUGUAUAGUAGUGUGGGUAAGGAGCUGUGAUAUUUAUAUUUGUUUAUUUAUUUUUUUGAGUGUAGCCAAAUUGGUCCAGUCGCUUCUAGGCAGAAUUUGGUCUAUAUUAGUUUGUAUCUAUAUGCGAAUAAUAUAUAAUACCUAUAGAUUAAAGGUAUUCAAAAUAUGCAUCACAGGAUGAAAAAGUUUGAAUACCUCUGCUAAUUGCUAUAGUAUAAUAAUUGUAUACUUUAUUUUAUUCGUGUAUUUAAAAAAAGGCGCGUAAUGGUGCGUUAUAGUGGCGCCAUCGCUACCGCCACCUGAUUGUAUUAAUUUCACGCAUUGGGAAUCGAAAUACGUUCGGUGCUGGCGGGUGCUGCAAUGAGCGUCGCUCGUAGGGCUCGGGAUGGACCGGAACACAGUCAAUCGUGAUAAACUUUGUCGCAUGCGAUAAAACGUUUAUCACAUAAAAAUCAUAUCAUAUAGUUCGAUGAUAAAAAUAAAUAUUUGGUAUUCUUGAAAUUGAAAAGAUAUUUGACUAGCCAAACGAAAAAUAAUAUUCGACUGCUUGUUUAUAUUGGGUAUAACGGUAUAGAUUAAGAAAAACCUUAAUCCCAUGAUAAUGUAUGAAAUGUGAUAUCAAUUUUCACAUUAUACAACAGAAAAUAGAAAUAAUUAAUUCCUAUUCUUAUCGAUCAUCGCUUUGUUAUUUUACGUUUUGUAAUUUGCUUGGUAUUAAUCCGUAAUUAAUUGAUUUUCUUCGAUUACAAUGGCAAAUUUUGAGUUAUAAUAAUUUUUGGUCAUAAGUUCGACUAAAGAUUUCAUCUGUCAUUGAAUUGGUCUUGAUUUGGACAUUUUAAUUUUAAUAAUAAUUAGGGCUGUGAAUUUGUAGGAAAGUGCAUUUUUUUGGCGUGAUUGUGAAAGUUGUGAAACGUUGCUUUGUAAGUAUUCUGUGUAAGAAUUAUGUAGGAAACAAUAAAUCCAUUUAUAAAACUUUUAUUUUGCAUUUUUUGACGUAUCGUUGUAAGUUUGAUGUUUUAAAAAUAAUAAUUGGAAAUUGUAUACAAUUGAAAAACGGUAAAUCGCGCUUAUCAGUUAUUGCUUAUUGAAAUAAAAUAUUAUUCGUAGCCGCAGUACUAGUCGUAGCAGUAGUACACCUACUAGAUAACCGUGGCUUAUACUAUAGGUACGUGCUCGUAUAAUUUCGGGUAGUCAGAAGUCACUAGUCAGGUUAGUUCCAGUCGUUCCAUACUUAAACCAAAACCAAAUACUAUGGAUAGAUCUAUAUUCUAUAGUAUUUUCUUUCAUAAUCAUUUCCGUUUUGUCCGUUCCUCAGAGGUUCACAGGUAAAUUGGAACCUUAUGGAGUAUUAUUUAUAAUUCAAUAGUGUUCUGUAGUUGAGGCGUUGACGAUAUUAUAUAUACCUACAAAAAAUGUAUUGAAGUAGAAUUGAGAUUUUAUCAUUAUCAACUAUAACCGUACGUCAUGAAUGUCAUAUGAGUUACGUGUCUCCGUGUAUGUAUUAGUCAGUCUAUAUCGUAGACCUCAUACUAGUACAGUCUAUACAGUUGUGUCAAUGUCAUGAAUUAAGAUAAUAUCUAUUAUCUAUAUAUUAAAUUAAUUCAUGGUCAAUGUCCAAUAAUGCAUAUCUAACAUGAGAAAAAUGUAGUCAUUGUGUGGUGUGUACAUUGUGUCACUGUACACAAUGUGUCGACGUCAUCCUAGUUUGUUAAGAUCAUUUAAACUGUUUUAGUUUUUCACCGUGUUGCUCACAUACAAAAUCUCGUACCCACUGGUGGGCGCUCGCCUGAAACAGCGUUUUAAUUUGGCAUAAGUACCAUGCUCCGUGUACUCGUGGGAUCAUGUCCCUAUUAAACAAUAUCUGGCUUUGGAUGACCAGGAAACCCAAAGUUCCCGAACUGCCAAAAGAUGUUUUUCUUGAAAAAAAUGUGAUGGAUAAUAUCUUUUGGAUUAUUCCAUUUCUUCAGCAAUAUGUACAAGAAAGAAUACAUUUUGAGAGUUCAGGUGAAUAUCUUAUUUGAAGAAUACCCAAUAUUUCUGAGCUACAACUGGUGAUUGGUGAUCGAGCUGUGGUUACAGAUCUACCAAACUGUACUAAAAGACUUUUUAGAAGUAGAUCAUAAACUUUGCUCUUAAUAAUUGGAGAUCCAUUUACAAUACAAUUUUAGUUUCAUUGGAAGAUGAUAUUGUUACAGUCAAGGUGUUCAAUGUGGACAGAUUCAACCCAAUUAUAUUUUUAAAGUAAUUCCCGUGGUGAAGUGUACAAACGGCAAAGAAGGUUAGAUUAGACUUCAGUAACCAGUGAAAGAAAAAAUAUUUAAUGUUGAAUGUAUGGAGUUAGUGAAAUAAGUAAAUUGCUCACAUUCAAUAAAUAUUUAACAUCAUAAAGCGAUAACACCAAAAAAUUAACCAAUGGUAUCAAAUGCAUUCAGAUUUUAAAACUUUGGUGAAAUUAGUCAAACCAACAUUCCAAGAAGAUGAGAUCAAACAGGCAAAAUCCUGAUUUGCAUAUUGGUCUAAAGAAGACAUGGUAAUCUAAUUAGAGGAUUAUUUUAUAUUCAAUAUUAAGCACACAUUGAAUGAGUAAUAACAGGUUCAAUUUUGUACAACAGACAGAACUCGUUCCAUAGCAAAUGUGUUGUACAAUAUGCCAUGAUGCUAGCCUACAAUGCCUACAUCUAUGCCUGUGGAUAUAGAAAAAUUAACAGCCGAUUUUUCCAAAUUGUAAAAUUGAGAGUUAAAAAUGAUUAUAAGUUAUAAUAAAAUAUAAAUACUUAUUUGAUAGGUACUGUAUAUUAUAUAUAUAUAUAGUUUUUCAGAUUCUAAAAUCUAAAUUCAUGUCCAUGUAACUGACAGAACUGUCAACUGAAGUCCAAGUCAUACUGUAUUAUUUUAUUACGAUAAUAAUAGUGAUAAAUGAUUAGGUACCGUUUGUGGUAGUUUAUUGAUAACGUUUGUCACUUCUUACUUCAUAAUUUUUAUACAACAGUUAAAACUUAAAAGAUAAACUAAAUUUAAAUACAUAUAGAAUUAUUUCAAUCAAGUUGAUAUUUUUAGACAUUGUAAUUUGUGCAUUUUAAUUUUUGUCAACUGGUUGUUUUCGUCUGA